GGCCAAACACGAGGACUGUGUAUGAGCGGCUAACCGUUGGCUGAGUAGGCUGAAGCCAGAUCAGGAUAGAUGGAACGGGUGAAGAACAACGAUACGUUCAUGCUCCUUUUCGCUUGGAAUCCACAUGCCACAAAGACACUGCCUCUUCAUAGGAGUAGCACAAACACUGGCACUGGAAAUGACGAGGUGGGCACAAGACACAAUAAAAGAACUUUCUCGGGGCUGGGGAUUUAGCUCAGGGGUAGAGCGCUUACCUAGGAAGCGCAAGGCCCUGGGUUCGGUCCCCAGCUCCGAAAAAAAGAACCAAAAAAAAAAAAAAAAAAAAAAGAACUUUCUCAUUAGCAGGCUAUCUACUCGGUACCUCAAGUCUUUGGAAUCGACUUCCAAGAGGAAGAAGAGAAAACGACACUGGUGCAGCAUUUGCUGAAGACUCAUCUCUCCAGUUGGUCCCUGUGCAUUGAGCAUCUAGUCCUCCGAGAGAAUC
rnacentral:lncRNA from 1 species